rnacentral:lncRNA from 1 species
GUAGAACUUUCCAGCCUGCCUUCAGACCCAGAUUUGCCAAUGGAAUUUAUUGCCAGAAGUAGAAAAAGUUUUCAGGAGUGCCCCUUGUGUGAACAGGUGUCCUGGGGAAACCAAUUACUGAGAGCCCCUUGGAGAGGUCAUAGAAUUGUAAAAUCAGGGCUGCAGGGAUCUCCCUGUCAGGAUUUCCUUGGGAUGCAGCAGCACCUGGACUCUGGGACACAGGGAAGGUGCUCCUGUGCUCUGUCUCCCAGGUAAAGCUGCCUUAAAACCUGCCUAAAAACCUGCCUUAAACAACACAAAUCUGAG